GAAAUGGGAGGGACAGAGAAGUAGGGUGUCAUGGCACCAUAUCUUGAGAGAUGUUUCAGAUCAAUAGAGUGGCAGAGAAUAACGCUAUGUUCGAGAUGAUGAUCCACUGUGGGUGAGAUCAAGGGAUAGGCCUGGAAUAUUCUAGGUUGAGUCUCCAGAUUUAUCUUAUGUCUUCUUCUUAGAGAGGUAUAUCUUUGUAGGCAUCCCAGCCAACUGUUUUACAAGGUGCAGAAACUAUAUCAUUAUACGCAUCUUGAUCCGAAACCAUGCUCUACU
rnacentral:lncRNA from 1 species